rnacentral:rRNA from 1 species
UACGUAGGGCGCAAGCGUUGUCCGGAAUUAUUGGGCGUAAAGAGCUCGUAGGCGGUUUGUCGCGUCUGUCGUGAAAGCCCACGGCUUAACCGUGGGUCUGCGGUGGAUACGGGCAGACUAGAGGCAGGUAGGGGAGAAUGGAAUUCCCGGUGUAGCGGUGAAAUGCGCAGAUAUCGGGAGGAACACCGGUGGCGAAGGCGGGUCUCUGGGCAGUAACUGACGCUGAGGAGCGAAAGCGUGGGGAGCGAACAGG